CUCAGGGAUCCCGGGAGCCAGGGGAUAUGCUGCCACGGAAGCUGA
ensembl:snoRNA